UACGUAGGGCGCAAGCGUUGUCCGGAAUUAUUGGGCGUAAAGAGCUCGUAGGCGGUUCGGCAAGUCAGCUGUGAAAUCUCCACGCUCAACGUGGAGGGGUCAGCUGAUACUGCUGUGACUCGAGUCCGGUAGGGGAGUGUGGAAUUCCCGGUGUAGCGGUGAAAUGCGCAGAUAUCGGGAGGAAGACCAGUGGCGAAGGCGGGUCUCUGGACAGUUCCUGACACUGAGGCACGAAGGCCAGGGGAGCAAACGGG
rnacentral:rRNA from 1 species